AUGCCGCGGUGAAUACGUUCCCGGGCCUUGUACACACCGCCCGUCACACCACGAGAGUUUGUAACACCCGAAGUCGGUGAGGUAACCUUUAUGGAGCCAGCCGCCUAAGGUGGGACAGAUGAUUGGGGUGAAGUCGUAACAAGGUAGCCGUAUCGGAAGGUGCGGCUGGAUCACCUCCUUUCU
rnacentral:rRNA from 1 species